UACGGUUCCUGCUGCUGAUCCGUCUUCGUCUAAACCGUCAUUUGCGGAGGCUUUGAUCUCCAAGCCUUCCUUCAUUUGAAAAUCUUUCAUUGAACCUUGCGAGCGGAAAGGAACUAGAUAGAUUCUUCUCUGAGAUGUACCGCUAAGCGCUUACCUAAACCGCUUGAACAACGGCGAGUGAUAAGCUACCUGGACCCUUCCCCAGAACAGCUUGCAUAGACUAAUGGCACCUUAGUGGGCUAAGAGCGGGAGAAAGCAAGAGUGGUUUUUUCUCCCCCUCGCUACUGACACCCAAAAAGAGAGUUUUUUCUUCGAGUGCCUACCUAACGGGCAAUACUGAACA
rnacentral:lncRNA from 1 species